AAUAGAUACCCUGGUAGUCCACGCCGUAAACGAUGGAUACUAGCUGUUGGGGGGCGACCUCAGUGGCUAAGCGAAAGUGAUAAGUAUCCCACCUGGGGAGUACGUUCGCAAGAAUGAAACUCAAAGGAAUUGACGGGGGCCCGCACAAGCGGUGGAGCAUGUGGUUUAAUUCGAUGAUACGCGAGGAACCUUACCAAGGCUUAAAUGCAGACUGACCGUUUUGGAAACAGAACUUUCGCAAGACAGUCUACAAGGUGCUGCAUGGUUGUCGUCAGCUCGUGCCGUGAGGUGUCAGGUUAAGUCCUAUAACGAGCGCAACCCCUGUUGUUAGUUGCCAGCGAGUAGUGUCGGGAACUCUAACAAGACUGCCAGUGCAAACUGUGAGGAAGGUGGGGAUGACGUCAAAUCAUCACGGCCCUUACGCCUUGGGCUACACACGUGCUACAAUGGCCGGUACAGAAAGCAGCCACCUCGCGAGGGGGAGCGAAUCUACAAAGCCGGUCACAGUUCGGAUCGGAGUCUGCAACUCGA
rnacentral:rRNA from 1 species